rnacentral:rRNA from 1 species
AGAGUUUGAUCCUGGCUCAGGAUGAACGCUGGCGGCGUGCUUAACACAUGCAAGUCGAACGGAAAGCCCCUUCGGGGGAAUUCGAGUGGCGAACGGGUGAGUAACACGUGGGCAAUCUGCCCCUGUCACCGGGAUAACUCAGGGAAACUUGAGCUAAUACCGGAUACUCCGUAGAGAUCGCAUGGUCUCAUCGGGAAAGCUCCGACGGACAGGGAUGAGCCCGCGGCCCAUUAGCUUGUUGGUAGGGUAAUGGCCUACCAAGGCAACGAUGGGUAGCCGAGCUGAGAGGCUGAUCGGUCACACUGGGACUGAGACACGGCCCAGACUCCUACGGGAGGCAGCAGUGGGGAAUUUUGCGCAAUGGGCGAAAGCCUGACACAGCAACGCCGCGUGCGGGACGAAGGCCUUCGGGUUGUAAACCGCUUUCAGCAGGGAUGAAAUUGACAGUACCUGCAGAAGAAGCCCCGGCUAACUACGUGCCAGCAGCCGCGGUAAUACGUAGGGGGCAAGCGUUAUCCGGAUUUAUUGGGCGUAAAGCGCGCGUAGGCGGCUUGUUAAGCGAGAUGUGAAAACCGGGGGCUUAACCCGCGGCCUGCAUCUCGAACUGGCAGGCUUGAGUCUGGUAGAGGAAAGUGGAAUUCCCAGUGUAGCGGUGAAAUGCGCAGAUAUUGGGAGGAACACCAGUGGCGAAGGCGGCUUUCUGGGCCACGACUGACGCUGAGGCGCGAAAGCUAGGGGAGCGAACAGGAUUAGAUACCCUGGUAGUCCUAGCCGUAAACGAUGGGCACUAGGUGUGGGGGG